GUUCCAGGGAAGGUUGGAAAUGACUCCUUUAUGUGAAAACGUUGGUCAUAAGGAUCUGAAGGUGGUGAUGGGAAUGCCUUCCUGAUAACAGAACUGCAGCUUCUAACAGAUCGUCUUAAGGAGAUGGAGCUGAAAUUGGAUGAACACCGAAUCACUCAAGAGGCUGAGGGGCUGUUGGACAGGACAUUCAGGGAGGUAGCCACAAAGCAAGAAACCUGAAAGAACCUAAUUAAAAAAGUAAAAUAAAGACCUACACCUGAUCUGCAGAGAAAGGGAAUAAAAAGCACAAACCAUGCAAACAAUAUACGCGAGCAACAACAUUCCAAACCAAGAAGAGAUCUUAGUUCCAAAUCCAGAAGCAGCCUGGAGAAGGCCUAAGCUUUGAUAUCAUUCCAUCAUAUUAGCAGGCACGGAGCACAAUGGCCAGGGGUAGUCUUCAUAGACUCAGCACCACGGAGACAGAAGUGAACAUUGUGGAAGCGUGAACGAAAUUGGCUCCCGCUUCCAAUCCUGACUCUAUCUUUCCAGUGUAUCAUUUAAAUUGUCCAAACAGCAUAUCAUACCUUCCACUAGGACUUAGGCACCAUUGCAGCGAAAGGCUCUGGGCC